CCUACGGGAGACAGCAGUGAGGAAUAUUGGUCAAUGGACGAGAGUCUGAACCAGCCAAGUAGCGUGAAGGAUGACUGCCCUAUGGGUUGUAAACUUCUUUUAUAUGGGAAUAAAACGUUCCACGUGUGGGAUUUUGUAUGUACCCUAUGAAUAAGGAUCGGCUAACUCCGUGCCAGCAGCCGCGGUAAUACGGAGGAUCCGAGCGUUAUCCGGAUUUAUUGGGUUUAAAGGGAGCGUAGGUGGAUUGUUAAGUCAGUUGUGAAAGUUUGCGGCUCAACCGUAAAAUUGCAGUUGAAACUGGCAGUCUUGAGUACAGUAGAGGUGGGCGGAAUUCGUGGUGUAGCGGUGAAAUGCUUAGAUAUCACGAAGAACUCCGAUUGCGAAGGCAGUUCACUGGACUGCAACUGACACUGAGGCUCGAAAGUGUGGGUAUCAAACAGGAUUAGAUACCCGAGUAGUC
rnacentral:rRNA from 1 species